UUUGAUUUCUUCCUAAGAGAUUAACACUGGGAUUGUGGUUAUUUUGUUGUUCAGUCAUUGUAUUUGCAAAUUUUUACAAUGAAUAUAUAAACUUGUCAGCUUUAAAUUCUACUACUAAAAGAUACUGUAGUUAACCUUUAAGAUCAUAUCUUAACUUCUGAAGCCUUUGCCAGCUUGGUGUCACAUUCACAUUCAAGUGUGAAAGGUACUUUAUAAAUUGGUUGCAAGGAGGGGACAGAAAUAUAAUCUCUCAAGCAUGUGGCAUGUGAGUGUUCUCUCUGACUUCCCAAGACUCCUUGCUAAGAGUUCUUCCUCUGGCAUUUCUCCCCAAGGUGCACCUUCUGCUGCUUCAGUAAUAUUGAAAUGGGUGUAACAGUUUUGGGAAUGACCUGGGAGUAUAGAUGAGUUCUGUUCCUCACCCUGCCACUCUCUGAAUUGCUGUGUGAUCUCAGAUGAGUUAUAGCCCCUUCAGUUUGCCUGUCUGUAAAAUAUAUUUAGUUGAAGUGACAAUACUUCCAGUUAACUUGUAUACACUACUACACUUUAGAAAACUUCUGUAGCGUGACAUAAUAAUGUGAUGAAAAUUAUAUAUAGAUGGAAUAUGGUGGAAAUUAACUCACCUAAGAGAUGCUGUAAUUUCUUUUGAGACUGUGAAAAGGCAACAUACAGUGCUGUUACUUGCCAUUUCAUUUUAUUGCUAUUUCAUUUCACUUUUCAUGUGCUUUAAUUCAGAAGUGGCUGAACUUGCUCAAACUUCCAAAGAAACUGAAUUGAAGUCGAGGGAGAGAAAUAGAGCAGGACGAAUAGGAGGGUGCCAGGCUGAUCACUACAACUGUUUAAAAUAGAAAAGCAGAUGGAACAAAUAGAAAGAUUUACCACACAGCUUGAUCUCUCCCCCUGAAGCAGCCAUUCAUCAUCAGCACCGCUGAGACAAACUGCGAAACAAGUUUCCCUUUGUGGCUGUGAUUGGGCUUGGAGAGGUGGCAGAGCUGCACGACAGCCUCAGGAUUGGCUGGGCGAGAACACACCUCUGGAGUCUGUUUAUUUCCCAAAAAUAAGAUAAAAUCUCUUAUAUUUCGCCUGGAGAUCUUUUAUCUUGCAUUUAAUAUCCAAAUAAACUAGAGCAAACACAGUUAACCUCUUUGGAA
rnacentral:lncRNA from 1 species